rnacentral:rRNA from 1 species
UACGUAGGACCCAAGCGUUAUCCGGAAUUACUGGGCGUAAAGAGUAGCGUAGGCGGUCUUUUAAGCAAAGCAUGAAAUCUUGUGGCUCAACCAUAAGACUAUGUUUUGAACUGUGAGACUAGAGUAUAGAAGAGGUAACUGGAAUUCCUAGUGUAGGAGUGAAAUCCGUAGAUAUUAGGAGGAACACCGAUGGCGUAGGCAGGUUACUGGUCUAUUACUGACGCUAAGGCACGAAAGCGUGGGGAGCAAACGGG